AGCGAACGCUGGCGGCAGGCCUAACACAUGCAAGUCGAACGAACCUUUCGGGGUUAGUGGCGGACGGGUGAGUAACACGUGGGAACGUGCCUUUAGGUUCGGAAUAACUCAGGGAAACUUGUGCUAAUACCGAAUGUGCCAUUCGGGGGAAAGAUUUGUCGCCUUUAGAGCGGCCCGCGUCUGAUUAGCUAGUUGGUUGAGGUAAUGGCUCACCAAGGCGACGAUCAGUAGCUGGUCUGAGAGGAUGAUCAGCCACAUUGGGACUGAGACACGGCCCAAACUCCUACGGGAGGCAGCAGUGGGGAAUCUUGCGCAAUGGGCGAAAGCCUGACGCAGCCAUGCCGCGUGAAUGAUGAAGGUCUUAGGAUUGUAAAAUUCUUUCACCGGGGACGAUAAUGACGGUACCCGGAGAAGAAGCCCCGGCUAACUUCGUG
rnacentral:rRNA from 1 species